CCUACGGGGGGCAGCAGUGGGGAAUAUUGCACAAUGGGGGGAACCCUGAUGCAGCAACGCCGCGUGGGUGAAGAAGUACUUCGGUAUGUAAAGCCCUGUCAGCAGGGAAGAAAAUGACGGUACCUGACCAAGAAGCCCCGGCUAACUACGUGCCAGCAGCCGCGGUAAUACGUAGGGGGCAAGCGUUAUCCGGAUUUACUGGGUGUAAAGGGAGCGUAGACGGCAAGGCAAGUCUGGAGUGAAAGCCCGGGGCUCAACCACGGGACUGCUUUGGAAACUGUGUUGCUGGAGUGCAGGAGGGGUAAGCGGAAUUCCUAGUGUAGCGGUGAAAUGCGUAGAUAUUAGGAGGAACACCGGUGGCGAAGGCGGCUUACUGGACUGUAACUGACGUUGAGGCUCGAAGGCGUGGGGAGCAAACAGGAUUAGAUACCCCAGUAGUC
rnacentral:rRNA from 1 species